CGCAGGAAGUGACGAGACGGGAUGUGCCAAGAGGUGGCACCGGAGGAAGUGACACCGGAGGAAGCAGUGAUGUCACACGUGGGCAGCCUGGUGCCCAGCUGGGGAGAGGGCCCAAUCACCCACUCACGCCCCCUAGUGGUCAGUUUCCAAGGCCAGGCUCACAUGUUUCUGCUUUUAAAGGAAGUGAAGUCGAUCUGAAUUGGCGCCACAGCCCAGACAGGCUGACCAGGGAAAGGGGCACCUGGCUGGACACGGGUGCAGCCUGUGACAGCGCUGAUGUGCUAGGAGUAGGAGCAGGGUUCGGAGAGGCCGAGUCGCUGGCCGAAGCGGCACUGCUCAGGUUUGGGGGUGUGCCUUUUUGCCCCAAAGCCGUGGCCCUUCGCCAGAUGUGUGGAGGCCUCCACUGGGGCUGCCACGUGUCCUUGGGGACAGUUCUGACCUCAGAUCAGAGUUUUCUUUUGGUACCAGGGAUCGAACUUGGGACCUUGUGCUUGCAAGGCAGGCGGUGGCACCACUGAGCUAAAUCCCCAGCCCAGAUCAGAGUUUUGAAGUGGGAAGUCACCUUGGCUUGUUCACCCUGCUGCGGUGGGUUCCACAGUUGGGGAGGUGCAGGGUUGGGCCAGGAUGGGCCAGUCUCCGGCUGUGCCAUGCUGUACGCCUGCCCACCCUGCUGGACACAGACCCCCAGGACAGGUCACCCCACUGACGAGCUGCACGCAGGCGCAAGCCCAAUCCAGAGCUGGAAUCCAGCUCCCUCCUCAACUAGGCCAAGAGCCCAGGCGAGAGCCGGCUUCAAAACACCGAGCAGAGCACAGAGACAAAUACAUCUCGGCUGUUACACAGACAAAGGCCCUGGCGGCGUCUCCCUGCCUAAGACAGACAGACACACAGACAGACAGCCAGGCCAGCAACUCCUGAUGCAGGCACUGCAGGACUUCACAGCUCAUUUUAGACAAGGCAAACAAACAUGGUCAGCGCAUUCCUUCUCCCUGUGGUUUCCUUCCAGGGUCGGCAGCUGUGGUGCACAGGUCGCUAUGAGCUCAGGGUGUGAAGGGGGCGAGGCGGGUGGGUGGCCUGCGGGCUUCACCUGACCCUUCCAACACGUCCCUGGUCACUUGGGAAACAGUUACAGCUGAGGAUGGAGUCCUCACCUCAGCCCUGCUAGGAUACAGUCUUACCGGUUAAGGAACAGCCAUACUGCUGCUCAUUUAAGUGGGGUCCAGUUAUCAACAAACAUUCUAACCCUGCGGCUCUCAGCCCUCCCGAGGCCUUUUUCCUGACUGAGCAGAAGCUGGAAAAGCCAGGGACUUGCUCUGCUUCCCAUCGCAGCUGCUCCAGGCCACUGCCUCACUGUGGUAUAAAAAGGGUUGUGUCCCUGGUCACCCGUGUUCUAGGGAUGUGGCUGCUGUUUCUUCCCUGUGGCUUCUGAAGUUCUGGGUCAGGAUGACCAAGGCCCCCUCUUGCUCCCCGAAUUUCUGCAGUGAUCCGUACCGAAGCAACUGCUAUGCAUUUCCUGUUUGGAGUGGGGCCACCCCAAUGGAGCAGUGGCACAUCAGCCCCGUUCUGUGCCAGGAUGCAGGCUUUCUGGGAGACACUUGUUUUGGGGGACCAGGACGACACAAGGGGGCAGAUGUCGAGAAAACAUGCCAAAGGUAGCGUUUACCUCAAAUCCAAAUGCCAUGCAGCAGUGCUCCAUCCAAUAAUGUAGGAGCCUCUUUACCCAGCACCUGGACACAGUGGGGUGUGGGGCUCCUCAACUCAAACCCCAGCAGCCCAGAGACGAGAAUGCGGGGCUCCCUGGGGGACCUCUCUCCAGCAACCCAGCUAGGGGCAGAAACUGGACCAAGCUUAAUUCCACCGGCCCCAAAGCUGGCCUGAACCCAGGGCUCUUCGGUCCACUCUGGUGCCCUCACCAGCUGGAAAGCUGGGGUGACAACAGGAAUGCCAGCUGCAGGCCCCCAAACACCUGUUUACCUCCACCAAGAUUUUAACUGUAUUCCAGAGGACGGUUAUAAAAUAAUUCUUAGUUUGGCCAACUGACCUUCAUCUUCUGUAAAAACAUCAAGUUGGGAUUAAGAUGACAGUGCAGCCGGGGUGGAAGCCAAAGAGGAGGACAGCUUUGGUCUAUCCAUUCUGCAUUAAGCCCGUCCAUGCAUUCCUGACUUGCUUCUUUAACAAUCGGCCAUGUGCGGGACAGGAUAACAGCACCUGGCAGUCAGGGGCAGACUGCACGGUUGGGGGCCUCGGAGGUCAGAAAGGAGCCCAGCAGGCCCUGUCACCUGGGGACGCCGGUCACCGUUGCCCGAAGUGGUGCAGUGCUCGGCUUCUGGGUCUGACGCCAUGUGAGCACACUACUGCACUGCCAGCCAAACAGACGGAGCACACACAGCUCCAGAGAGCACGUAACACAGUUCAGGGACCAUCAGGCCAAGAGGACUGGUGAAAGACUAAAAGAUACCCACAAGACUACCUCCGUUGGUACCCGAUCUGGCUACUGGCCAUCCGGCCCCGCACAUCUGCAUGGAGAAGACGUCAGGGAUCUUGGCCUGGGUCACCAGGGAAUCAAAGAAUGUCUCCAGGGAGCUUGAUGGCUGCAGGAGGGGAAAAGACAGACAGAGGUUCUGGACUCAGCGUGAAGACCAGGGUGUCGAGCCACACGAAGGGGAGACAUUUUGCCCAAGGUCAUACUGAAAGGACUGAGGAAUGUAAACUCCUGUCAGUUGUGUGGGUCCAAAGAUCUAUUUCAUUAGCUCUGCAGAACCGAGGACAGCGGGGCUCCGCACUGGGCUCUGAGCUCUGGCCUCAGCAGGGUGGGGUGUACCUCUCUCUCAGGGGCCCCCAUGUCCAGCAUGAGGAGACUGCGGCCUCGAGAGGAGCAGGAGGCUUGAGCACUGAGUGAAUUUUCUCACCCAAGUGCCCGGGGCUGGGUCAUUCUUAUCCUUUCCCAUUGGGCUCCUCCUCCGCUCCCCAGCCUGCAGCAGUUCCUAAGAAUCUGAGCUGAACAAAUGCUCUACAGCUCGGCCUCGGGCAGCAGGGCCCAUUGUUCUGCAACUACACUUCUUCCUUGACUCCGAACUCUGGCCCCAAGCCCGAGGCUGACCCAAGGAGCCGGGCCACAGCGCCAGGGCCAGCAGCAGCACCCCUGCGUCAGUUCUGCCUGCACCUGGUUGCUUCCUGGUGGAAAAUUCCCUGGCCCCUCCUCUUCUGCUCACCACCGUUUCCUCUGGGCUGGGCCCCAGGACGAUAAUCAGAGAACAUCCAAUUCUGUGUCACCCCAGAAGGCUCGGCUGCCACUGAGGGCCAGGGCUCCCCCAUUCUUCCCUGGCUCUCCGCUCAAGGAGGGGAUGGAAAUUCCCACUUCUGGGCCCUGUGUCUCCUCCGAGGUCUCUGGAGGUGACAGGAGAAAACUCCUAAGCAAAUUCCCUCAGCCUCAGCAACGUGGUUCAGAUUCUGCUCACAUUGUUUUUUUAAAGCUUCAGAACUAAAACAAAACCAAAAUAAAAACAGUCCAUGCAAGUGUUAGUAUCUCUUCUAGGAAGACUCCAAGAAUGGUGCUGUGUACCUUAAAUUUUAUGUCUGUUUUCGUGAUUUUCCUGCU